rnacentral:rRNA from 1 species
UACGGAGGGUGCAAGCGUUAUCCGGAUUUACUGGGCGUAAAGGGCGUGCAGGCGGUUUGUUAAGUGCAGGGUGAAAGCUCCCGGCUCAACUGGGAGAGGUCCUUGCAUACUGGCGAACUCGAGGGAGGCAGAGGAAAGUGGAAUUCCCGGUGUAGUGGUGAUAUGCGUAGAUAUCGGGAGGAACACCUGUGGCGAAGGCGGCUUUCUGGGCCUUACCUGACGCUGAGACGCGAAAGCGUGGGGAGCGAACCGG